GGAAAAUCAUUUUUACAUAAAUAGUUCUAUUAAAAUAUUUUAAGUUAUAAAUAUUAACUGAACAAAUUAAACAAUUACAGUACUCUUUAAUAGUCUAAUCUAAUUUUAAUUUCUGAGUGGAACAAGUUUGGUGUUACAAUGUUUUUUUUUUUUUUUUUACUAUUAUUUUUACCUUGGACUUUUUUUACCAGUAAUUUUGCACUGAUUUAUGAUAGCACUUUUCUGAAAGAAAAUUGGGCUGUGGAGGUCAUUUUUUGAUUUUCCCAAGAGUUUUGCCAAUAAACGGAAAAAAACUUAAGAAAAUAGGCACAAUAUUAAGCAAAUAUUAUUAAAGAAGAUAUUUAAUACAUAUGUAAUUAUUUUACCACAUACCUAUAUAUUGUUGACAAAGCAACACUAUCAACCGAACUCUGCUCAGAAUUAUUGUUUUGUUAUAGAAGGUUUGUCGUGUAUAACAGAAUUGUACCGAGCCUUCUUUUAUUCUGAGGCAGAACUCUAGCAAUGCACACACAAUCUGGGUGGUGGGGGUAACAAACUCCCAUUUUUUUAAAUUAGGUUGUGAGCAAAACAAGAAAUAAUAUUUUUAGCCACAAGUAUAUAAUUCUGAAUUCCUUAUAUUAUAGUAAACAAAUCAAUUUGAUAUUUACAAAUUUAUUAGGUGGUUCAAAAUAAUAAUUUAUGAUGC